rnacentral:tRNA from 1 species
GCGAGAGUGGCGGAAUUGGUAGACGCGCUGGUUUUAGGUACCAGUGUCCUUGACGUGAGAGUUCGAGUCUCUCCUCUCGCACCA